rnacentral:rRNA from 4 species
GACCUCAAAUCAGGUAGGACUACCCGCUGAACUUAAGC